rnacentral:rRNA from 1 species
GACGAACGCUGGCGGCGUGCUUAACACAUGCAAGUCGAACGGAAAGGCCCAGCUUGUGUGGGGUGCUCGAGUGGCGAACGGGUGAGUAACACGUGAGUAACCUUCCCUUUACUUUGGGAUAACUUCAGGAAACUGGGGCUAAUACCUGAUAUGAGCUCCUGCUGCAUGGUGGGCGAUGGAAAUUUGCGGCGGUUGGGGAUGGACUCGCGGGUAAUCAGCUGGUUGGUUGAGGAGUGGCCUACGAAGGCAUCGGAGGGUAGCCGGCCUGGGAGGGUGGCCGGGGUCAUUGGGACUGAGAGACGGACCAGAGUCCAACGGGAGGCAGCGGUGGGGAAUAUUGCACAGUGGGGGGAAGCCUGAGGCGAAGACGCCGGGGGCGGGAUGACGGCCUUCGGGUGAAAAACCGGUUUCGGCUGAGACGAAGCGUGAGUGACGGUAAUGGGUAAAGAAGCACCGGCUAACUACGUG